CCAUUUUAUGGAUGGCCAUGUUUGUUAUUUAUCUGUGUUUCUUUACAGCUGCUGUCUAUUGGUUUCCAUUUGCUUCGUGAUAGUAAACCGCACCAACAGCACUCUAAAGAUGAUACGCAGACCAAAGGCAACAGGCAACCCUGUCCUAAAACUUGAUGACCCAUGAGCCAGUAUUUUUAUGACCCCUGCCACCCAGCACUGUCAGAUCGAGCCGGCUGCAGCUUAGCCAACCAAAACCGAGCCCAAGGAAGACCCCCAGGGAGAGACAGACAAGCCUGGGCAAUGUGUACGAAUUAUUUUUCAGGAGAUAUAUAUAAGCCGUAUCAAGAAGGAUGCUCCAUUCCCUGCAAGACAGAUUUGCUUACCAACGAUGACGCCACUUCUGAUCUUCCUGUUGGCCGGAAACAUCUUCAUACAAUCAAGUAAGCCUUCUUCUACUUUUAAUUUCCCUGGGAAAUUCAGCCCCUCCACUUGUCCCACGUAGCAAGUUGGCCUCACAUCCCAGAUUUUCACCCUAAAACUCCAGUUUUGAGGUCCUUUCCCCAUGCUUCAUCCUUGGGAUCAGAAAUUUCAUGCAAUGAAUGUUUUUAAACUAGCAUCUGGGGAUUCAGUUUCAGGGCUUCGAGAGAUACUCCCCAGAGAUGCUUAAAGUCAUGCGUAUAUUUUGGGUGGCCAUGUUAGCCCUUAAAUUUAUCAUAGUGUCAACAUUUU
rnacentral:lncRNA from 1 species